rnacentral:pre_miRNA from 1 species
UUAAAGGAGGUGACAGAAGAGAGUGAGCACCCAUGGUGUUUUCUUACAUGAGAUAUAUAUUCAUGCUUGAAGCUAUGCGUGCUCACUCUCUAUCUGUCACCCACUGUUUUC